UCUGAUCCAGCCAUGCCGCGUGCAGGAAGACUGCCCUAUGGGUUGUAAACUGCUUUUAUACAGGAAGAAACACUCGUUACGUGUACGAGCUUGACGGUACUGUAAGAAUAAGGACCGGCUAACUCCGUGCCAGCAGCCGCGGUAAUACGGAGGGUCCAAGCGUUAUCCGGAAUCAUUGGGUUUAAAGGGUCCGCAGGCGGUCAAUUAAGUCAGAGGUGAAAUCCCAUAGCUUAACUAUGGAACUGCCUUUGAUACUGGUUGACUUGAGUCAUAUGGAAGUAGAUAGAAUGUGUAGUGUAGCGGUGAAAUGCAUAGAUAUUACACAGAAUACCGAUUGCGAAGGCAGUCUACUACGUAUGUACUGACGCUCAUGGACGAAAGCGUGGGGAGCGAACAGGAUUAGAUACCCUGGUAGUCCACGCCGUAAACGAUGGACACUAGUUGUUGGGAUUUAUCUCAGUGACUAAGCGAAAGUGAUAAGUGUCCCACCUGGGGAGUACGAUCGCAAGAUUGAAACUCAAAGGAAUUGACGGAACGG
rnacentral:rRNA from 1 species